rnacentral:rRNA from 1 species
UGCCUACGGGGGGCAGCAGUGGGGAAUAUUGCACAAUGGGGGAAACCCUGAUGCAGCGACGCCGCGUGAGUGAAGAAGUAUCUCGGUAUGUAAAGCUCUAUCAGCAGGGAAGAAAAUGACGGUACCUGACUAAGAAGCCCCGGCUAACUACGUGCCAGCAGCCGCGGUAAUACGUAGGGGGCAAGCGUUAUCCGGAUUUACUGGGUGUAAAGGGAGCGUAGACGGCAGUGCAAGUCCGGAGUGAAAGCCCGGGGCUCAACCCUGUGACUGCUCUG